rnacentral:hammerhead_ribozyme from 1 species
AUCCAGCUGACAAGUCUGAAAUAAAACGAAACGCGCGUCCUGGAU